GAAGUAAAAGUCGUAACAAGGUUUCCCUAGGUGAACCUGCGGAAGGAUCAUUAAAGAGUAAGGGUGCUCAGCGCCCGACCUCCAACCCUUUGUUGUUAAAACUACCUUGUUGCUUUGGCGGGACCGCUCGGUCUCGAGCCGCUGGGGAUUCGUCCCAGGCGAGCGCCCGCCAGAGUUAAACCAAACUCUUGUUAUUAAACCGGUCGUCUGAGUUAAAAUUUUGAAUAAAUCAAAACUUUCAACAACGGAUCUCUUGGUUCUCGCAUCGAUGAAGAACGCAGCGAAAUGCGAUAAGUAAUGUGAAUUGCAGAAUUCAGUGAAUCAUCGAAUCUUUGAACGCACAUUGCGCCCCUUGGUAUUCCGAGGGGCAUGCCUGUUCGAGCGUCAUUACACCACUCAAGCUAUGCUUGGUAUUGGGUGCCGUCCUUAGUUGGGCGCGCCUUAAAGACCUCGGCGAGGCCUCACCGGCUUUAGGCGUAGUAGAAUUUAUUCGAACGUCUGUCAAAGGAGAGGACUUCUGCCGACUGAAACCUUUUAUUUUUCUAGGUUGACCUCGGAUCAGGUAGGGAUACCCGCUGAACUUAAGC
rnacentral:rRNA from 1 species